UGGGGAGGUGUCGGGGGGCUGGAAGUCUCGGACCCUCCGCCGCCGCCCACAGAGGCCGGGAACCGGAGACAAAAUGGCGGCAUCGUCUCCGAGCCUGGCUCGGGACGUGGGUCGGGAAGCAGGAAAUGGCCUGCGGGCUCCCGAGGCGGUGGGAGUCUCCCGGGCCCGGGAAUUUGACCCCUCCGGUGUCCUUAGCUUGCAGGCGCUCGCCAGCCAGCAGGCCGGGGCGUAGGGUGGAGGAGUUGGUUGUAAAAUGGCGGCUGAAGGGGGAGGGCGAGUCCCCGGGCGGGGGAGGGGGAGGGAGGCGAUGGCGGGUGCCGUCUCCCGGCGCGCAGGCCCCACGGGAGCUUUGGGGGACCGUGGCGGGCGGUGGAGGGCCCUUGGGUGGGGUGGGGUGAGGAGCGGCACCGGCGGCUCGGGAGAGGGCGGAAUCCAGGGAGCCGUAGCGCGGGCGCCUUUCAGGGAAAUAUGGCGGGUGGGGGCGGUGGCUUUUCCCCGGAGGCCCAGUGUGGGGCGGCGGCUGUGGAGCCUCACAAAGGAGAAGCCUCGGGAGCGGACGGCUGCCCUGGGCCGGUGGUGGGGAGUCGUCUUCGGGGAGGGUGGAGUGUGUGGAAAUCACUGCAGGUCAGCCUUGGGUGGAGGAGGCAAGCUGAGAUGCUGCGAUUGGAUUUCUUCCCGUAGGCCGGCGCACCUCGGGAGUUGAGGGGUGUGGGGGCUUUUCCGCCUCGCCUCCAUCCGGGGAGGUGCAGACCCUCACUCUUCUCCGUUUGUUCUUACCCAGGACAUCCCAGAGUUCCUGCGGGGUUUUUUGUUUGUUUGUUGUUUUUUUUUCAACCUUCAGAAGCACCGUGUUCUGAUGGAUAGAAUAGACUACAGGAGACCAAGCUUGCCAGGACUCUUGAGUACUGAUUGCCCUUUACAGUGCCCGUGCCUCAGUCUACUCGUUUGUGAAAAUGACUUUACUAUUCACACUCAGCAUUAUGACACAUGGAAAGACCUGUUGAAAAAUAGUUAAUUCGAAAAAUGUUUAGUAACACUCCUUUGGUUGACAACCCAAGUUUGGAAAAUGUGUGUUGCUUGGCUUGGGGAUCUUGGCUUAUUUUGAACACUCAGUUGAGGCUUGGGGAUUUUGAAUUAUGACAUCGUGUUCUUUUUUUUUUUUCUGUUUUAUGACUUCAUUGUUGCAUGGCUGGAGUUGGAAUCCAGGGUUGCAUGCAUGCAACACAAGUGCUCAAAUACUUAGAUACAUUCUAGUUCUGUUUUAUCCAUUUUAAGCGAAUGGUUUUAUGUACACAUUUUACUUGUUACUCUUUGUUCAUUGACACCCGACUCACCCUGAGUGAUGGACCCAAGCCCUUGUCCAUGCUAGGUCAGUGCUUUCUGUCACUAGUUAUAUCCUUGGAUCGUGCUAAUUUGAAUUUAGUCUUUCUUCAGUAUUUCAUUGAAAUAUCCAUUGUGUUUAGUCAGUUUUAGGCAAUUUAUAUGCAUUUUUUAUGUCUUCCUUUCCCCUAAUUUUGUACCUAGAUACUUGAGUUAGGCAGUAUCCAUCAAACUAGUAUUUUAAAGUGAAAAAUCACAUAUGUGCUUCCUAUGGUUGGUUUGUUUAUUGAUUGAGAUAGGGUCUCACUAGGUUGCUCUUGAAACCUCAGUUUGUAGUCCAGGCUGGCCCCGAUCUCAUAGAGGUCCACCUGUAUUUCUCCUGAGUGCUUGGAUUAAAGGCAUGUGCACUAAGGCAGACAGGCCCAUGAGAUUUUAAUGUUUGGUGGCUAGGAUGGGAUGAGACAUGUUUGAGAUUAAGUGCUGUUGCCCCUCAGGUUUUUUCCAGAUUACUUAAGCCACUUGUUUUCCAAAAGUUAGGUCAGACCCCUUUCCUUGAAUGCCACUUGGGUCCUGUGGCAGCUUUUGAACUAGUCCUCCUAGAGUCUUGUUGGAAAUUACUGUUCAGUAUUUGGAAAGUAGAACAGCAGGCUUCAGAACCUCCAAUUUAGGAAAGAUACUGAACUAAAUUUUGUCUUAAAGACUGAAGUUGCAGUUUACACUGUUCUGGGCUCCUGUUGGGAGUGGGAGGAGGUGGGAUGGGGAAAGUACAAAUAAAUGCAGCUCAAGGUCAGCUUUCGUUUUAGUGUGAGUUUUUAUUUUUUUGGUUUUCUGAGACAGGGUUUCUCAAAGUCCUGACUGUCCUGGAACUCACUGUGUAGCCCAGACUGGCCUCAAAGUCAUGGAGAUCCGCCUGUCUCUGUCUCCCGAGUGCUUGGAUUAAAGGUGUGCACUGCUGCCGCCACCACUACCUGGCCCUACAUUUUAGUGUGUUUAUAACCAGGAGAGUUUGCUAGCAUUGGAGGUUUUCUCUCUCUCACCUCCCCUUAAUCUAGUGUCCUUGGGAAGAAACAUGAAAUUACAUGGAAGACUGGGGAUUUAAGGCUUUGUGUGAAUGUGAUAACACCCUCCCCCCCACAUACACCCCGGUAUAGGGGAACAUUUUUGGUUUGUUUCUAAAAGUCAUUUUAGAAAGGAUUUGGAAGCUUAUAUGAUUGUAGCUUCCAAGUUAAUUUCAAAUCAUAGUUGCGAUAUGAGUGCUGACUGUUUUUGACCCAAGCCUGGCCUUGUUGAUUAUUGAACAUAGGAGUGCAAGCCACUUGGUUUUGACUUGUUAUUCUGUCCUCUUCCAGACUCUAAAAGAGGGAAGGAAAUAGGAAGCACCUCUGUGAUUUGGCAUGAGGAAGGGAUCCAGUAGGAAGGGAGAGGAGGGAAGGAAGUCAGGAAACGUCAUCGCUCCUUUACCGACUGCAUUGAUUCAGUGUGUUUGUGUAACAGAAGUGGUUCUAUAGAGUGACCACUAAGUAAACUAUGAGGGGUAGCAAGAAUGCAUUGGAAUCCUGAGUUUGGGGUACUUGCAUGUAAAUAUUGGCUUUUUAGCUGACCUUCCUUGCUCCUGUCCUAGGUUUAUCUUGUAUUUUGCAUGCUAUGUAGAAUCUGGUGCCUAAAGUAUCUUUUACUCUCUCCAUAGGGAAUUGAAAUCAAUCUAUAUAGAUUAUUUAAUGGUCUUGGAAGAGGAGGUGAGAAGCUAUGUUCCAAGAACAGAAUCAUUUGGGGGUUUAUAUAGGAAAUAUCAAAGCUUGAGACUAGGACUGUUCACUUCAAUAAGUUUAAUGUUUUUCUCACUCUCUCUCUUGGUGUUUUGAGACAGGGUCUUUCUAAAAGAGUCCUGACUGUCCUAGAAUUCAUUAUAUAGAUCAGGCUGGCCUCGAACUCAUGGAGAUCCUUCUGCCUCUGCCUCAUGAGUGCUGGGAAAUGCUCUACAACACCCAGCCUAAUUUAGUAAUCUCUUUAACAAGUCAGUAGUCUAAGAGAUAUUUUUGUAUACUUGUAGCCAUAUUAAUCAAGUUAUCGUCAUAGUCAACCAAAUCAUAAUUUUCACACAUAAUUAAAAUAUUAGUAUAGAAAAAUUAAGGGGUGCGUUGCUGGGAUUGAAUUGGGGGCCUUGUGCAUGCUAGGCAAGUGAUCUACCAUGGAACUAUAUCUACCCAGCUCUAUGAGACAGAGUCUCACUAAGUUGCCUAGGGUGUCCUUGAACUUGUCAUUGCCCUCCUACCUCAGCCUCCCAAACAGCAGAGUUUGACCUGUCCAAAAAAGGAGUAUUUUUUCUAUUUUCUGGGAUCAGAGUGGUCAACAUAGCUAAUAUUUGGCUUGUGUGGUAGUUUUGUUUUUUGUCCUUCCCUAAUAAUCUUCAUCCUGCUUGGAUUGGCUCACUGGGGCUUAGUAUGGUGGCACAUCCCUUUAAACUACACUUAGAAGACAAGGGAAGAGGCUCUUGGAGUUCAGGCUAGCCUGAGCUAUGCAGUCCUGUCUGAAAAAGACAGAUAACCAGGUGGAGUGGCAUGUCAGUCCCAGCACUCAGGAGGCAGGUGCAGGCAGCAUCAGGCCAGCCAGAGUUAGAUCAGACUCUUGUCUUUUAAAAAAGAAAAAAAAAAGAAUUGGCCCUGUGGGGUGUGGCUUGUGUGCCCCCUACCCUACCCCUAGUCACUUGGGUCACUCUAAAUACUGAAACACCAGAAAUGCAUCUGUUCUGAGUCAUUGACUUGAGAGCAGUUUAAAACAUCAAAGCCGCAUUUCUAAGAACAUACUGUGCUAGUUAGGGAAGGAUGGAGAACACACACUCAUUUAUCUACUCAUUUAUUUAGAGGUAGGGUCUUAUGUUGGCCUGGAAUUCACAGAGGUCCUCAUUUGUACCUCCCAAGUGCUUCAGCUACAUGUAGUGAAUUUGUGGUUACAUGACACUGUCUCAGCUCCCUCUCUCUAAAAAUAAAGGGAUGCUCUUUUUGUACAUUUCAGGUGUUUUUUUUUUGUUUGUUUGUUUGUUUAUUUUGAGACAGGGUUCUCUAUGUAGUCCUGGCUGUCCUGGAACUCUGCCCUGCAGACCAGGCAGGUCUUGAACUCACGGAGAUCUGCCUGCCUCUGCCUCCUGAGUGCUGGGAUUAAAGGUGUUCGCCACCACCCCACAGCUACACUUUAAUUUUUUUGUACAGUACUGUGCAUAUUCUUUGUUUUUGAAUCGCUGUGUAUUUGAAGUGAUUUUUUUUUAAACUGCAGUGGAUGUUCUCUAAGCAUUCUGUUUAUUUUAAUUUUUAUUAAGUUUUAUUAAAUAAAAAUUUGUAUGUCUGGUUUUUGUUUGUUUUGUUUGUUUUUUUCCAGACAAGGUCUCACUAUGUGGCUCUGAUUGUCUUGGAACUCAGUGUGUAGGUCAGGCUGGCCUUGAACUCACAGAGAUCCAACUGCCUCCGUCUCCUGAGUGCUGGGAUUAAAGGCUUUAGAAACUAUGCCCAGCCGUCUAUGUGUGUUACGUGUGGGUCGGCAUGUGCUGUGGUGUGUGUGGAGGUCAAAGGACAAUUAAUGGAAAACUGUUCUUUCCACCAUGUAGGUGCUGGAGAUUGAACUCAGAUGGUCAGGCUGACGGUGGGUGUCUUUACCUGAACUGUCUCACAGGCCCUCUUUUUACCUAAAGAACUGCUUUUAUUUUCUGUGUGAAUGUUUCGCCUUCCUUGUACCACAUGCAUGCCCGCUUCCUGCAGAAGUCAGAAGAGGACAUUAGAUCUCCUGGAACUGGACUUAAAGUGGUUGUGAGCCACCGUGUGUGUGCUGUGAGCCAGCUCUUCCAUCCUCUUCUCACCUUUCCUUAAAAAAGUUCUGAAGCAGGGCACUGGAGCUCAUGACUAACCCCAGUAGGAGGCUGAGGCAGGAGGAUGUAAAUUUUAGCAAUUAAGCCAGACUUGGUCUUAAAGUAGAAGCAGGGCUUGAGUAUGUUGACUCAGUGAUUGAGUGCCUGCUAAACACGGGCAGUGCGCUGGGUUAAUGCGCUGCCUGGGGGAAUAAAAGCAAAAGCACAUGAAAAUGGGCCUUUGAGAACUGUUCUGCUAGCUUGGUCAAGAGAAUCGGUUAUUUACUAUUCUCGGGUCCUGGGGAGCCCAGGGCCAUGUGCACCAUAGGCAGGUGCUCUACUUCUGAGCUACUUCCCAGGUCUAGGAAGUGUUUAAAUAUUUCUGUCUGGUACACUCAACUGAAAUUUUGGUUCAAUAAAUUCAUGUGUUAAAAGUUGUUUUUGAGUACCAGAAGGUAUCGAGUUGCAGCACUACAAUGUAGUUAUUUCUUCUGUGGCUUGUUUGCUACAGUUAAGUACUGUUACAUCCAAGUUGGUAAGAUGGAGUUGCCCACAUAACUUUAUGGAUUGAGCUCAUUCUGUAACUAAAUGCUGAUGCUCAACCAGGCCUGCAAGAGUACUUCCAGGGGCUUGUUUCAGCUCACUAGAAGCAAGUGAUGACAAAGGGGUCUUCAAAAUUUAUCAUGAAUCCCGGAUGUAUUAGGAAAAAAGAAAUACUAAUUCAUGAUUGUGCUGGAACAGUUGGUAUGAACUUGCCAUUUGACAUUACUGGGUUUCUUUUUUCUUCUUUUUUAGUGUAAGUUUUGAAGCUAGAAUUCAAGUCCUCACGCUUGUGUUGCGGGCACUUGAUGGACUGAGCUGUCUUCCCAGUCCCUAUUUUUAUUCUUGGCGAUGACAGGGUCUCUCUUCUUGGCUGGUCUGCUGCUUGCUUUGUGGGCCUGGCUGGCUUCAAACUUGUGACAGUCACUCUGUCACCUCUGCUGAAGCAGUGGAAUAUCACAUGUGUGUUCCACCAUACCCAGCUAGCCUGGUACUUGCCAUGUAGACCCAGGCUGGCCUUCAGUUCACAGAGAUCCACCUACCUCUGCUGUGUGCCACCAUGCCUGGCUUAAUUUUUAUUUUGAGACCCGGGUCUUGUUUCCAGUCAUGCCACUAUACCCAGGCUAGUUUUCACACUUAAAUGAAAAUUUCCCAGGACUAGAGAGAUGGCUCAGAAGUUAAGAGCACUGGCUGGUUCAGUUCCCAGCACCCAUAUGGCAGCUCACAACUUUAUCCAGUUUCAGAGGAUCCGACACACAUACAUGUAAGCAAAACACCAGUGCACAUAAGACAAAAGGAAUCAUCAAGACAAAAAAAAAAACCCAUAAAACUUACUAAGCUUUGUUCUUCUACCACAGAUAUUGUAGAUCUGAGUCCUGAGAAUUUUGGCUUCUUCAAAUUUUGCAUUUGGUAGGAAACAAAAUAGAUCAAAAGAAAAAUGGAACCCUUUCCAAAGUGGCACUGGGAAAAGUCAAGGAAAUUGUACUUGCUGACAGUAGAGCUAGCUGGCCUACCAGCUAAUCAACUUGACGGUGUUAAGAAGCAAAUAUGCUGGUUUUAUUUUGUCUUACAUGAGCUGUGUGGCGAUUUGAAUAGGUAUGGCCCUCAUAGACUCGGUGGCACUGUUAGGAAGUGUGGCCUUAUUGGAAGAAGUGUGUCAUUGUGGGGACGGGCUUUGAGGUCUCAUAUGUUCAAGCUAUACCCAGUGUGGGACAUAGACUCCUUGUGCUGCCUGCAGAUAAAGAUGUAAAACCCACAGCUCCUUCUCUAGCACUGUGCCUGCCUGCAUGCUGCCUCGUCCCACCAUGAUGAUAACUAUGAUGAUAAUGGACUAAACCUCUGAAACUGUAAGUCAGCCCCAGUCAAUGUUUUCCUUUAUGUAAAACAUACGAGUUAUGGUGUGUCUUCACAGCAAUAGAAACCCUAAGUAAGACAAGCUAGUUUCCCCUCUCCCCCAAGACAGGCUUUCUCUCUGUAACCCUGGCUGUCCAGGCUGACUUUGAACUCAGAGAUCCUCUUGCCCCUGCCUCCUGAGGAGGCAGAUUAGUGCUAGGAUUAAAGGUUUGUGCCACCACCUCCUGGCACUCCUGGCACUACUACUCUUAAAUGCUGUUCUGUCAUGGCUCAAAAUAGUCCAGCUGGGCUCUGAUGGUACUGAGGCCAGCCUGGGUUAUGUGAGACCUUAGCAAUAGAAAGAGGUUCACUAUGUCACCCUGGCUGACAUGGAACUGUAUAUGUAGAAGACCAGGCUGGUUUCAAACUUGAAGCGAUCUCCUGCCCUUGCCUCCCAAAUGAUCAUGACAUUUUUGAAUAACCAGGAUAAAACAAGCCUUUAAUCAAAACAUUUUGGAGCAGAGCCUGGAGAUCUUGGAGUUGGAGGGCAGCCUUGUCUAAGUAGCAAGUUUUAGGCCUGCUGAGGCUGCAUAGUGGAUCCUGCCUCAAGAAAAAGAAACAGCAGUGUAAAGCAGGUGCCACUCGUUCUUCAGAUAAAUAUUCAAGUGAGGGGGCUGGAGACAUGGCUCAGUUGUUGCCAUGUCUUGCAGAGGGUUCAGGCCUGGUUCCCAGCACCCACGUAGUGGCUGACAGUUGCCAUAAUUCCGGUUUAGGGAAUCUGACAUCUUGUUUUGGUCUUCACAGUCACACAUGCACCGAGUGCACAUACACACACCCAGGAACACAAACACAUAAAAGUAAGUGUUUUUAAAACACAUGCACUUAAAAUCUAAAAAAAAAAAUAAAGAUUUAGCUAGGCAAUGGUGUUACACCCCUUUAAUCCCAGCAUUCAGGAGGCAGGGGUAGGAGGAUCUCUGAGUUCUAGGCCAGCUUGGUCUACAAAGCAAGUUCCAGGACAGUCAGGGUUACACAGAGAAACCCUGUCUCAAGCUGCCACCCUCCAAAAAAUUUGUUUUAAAAUGAGGACAAAUGGGUAAUAUUACUGUUAUUUAGUCAAGUGUGUUUUACUCUAAAGAUGGUAUUCCUUCCACUUCACACUUGAUAAUUUGUGCAGUAUUAUAAACAUCAGUCAAAACCUAGGCUGUUUCUCCUUUUCCUCCCUCCUCUGUUUCAACAGAGUCUCACAUAGCUCACUCAGGCUAACCUUGAACUUGCUUCUUCUUUGCCUACACGGCCCUGAACUGCUGAUCCUCUCAUUGAAGCACUAUUCUUAGUUUUUAAUUUUAUAAUGUGGAAAUUGCUUUGGGGGCCUGGGGAGAUAGCUCAGUCUGUCAAGUGCUUGACAUGCAAUCACAGACACUGAGUUUACGCCCCAGCACCCUGUCAAAAGGUCUGUUGCUUGUCUUGUCAUUCCAGUAUGCUUGUCAUCCCGUCUCUGGGGAGGCAGAGACUGGUGAAUCCCUUGGGGUUUCCUGACCGGUCACCCUACCCUGAUUGCUGAGCUCUAGGAUUAUGAGAGAAGUUGUUUUUAAAAACCAAGGGGGAGCCUGGUGGUGGAUCUCUGAAUUCAGCUAAUCUGGAGUACAGAGGUUUUCUGUAGCCCUGGCUGUCUGGAACUUGCUCUGUAGACCAGGCUGGCAGAGAACUGGCUGGCUCUGCCUCCCGAAUGUUGAGGUUAAAGGUGUGUACCACCACCGCCUGUCCUUUAGGCCUUUAAAUAAAAGAAGAAUUAUGGUAGUGGCAAGCACAGCAAAUGAGGGUGUGGUUUGGUUGAGCUUUGUCAAGGGGGCCAGUCUGGUUCAUACAAGGUUCCAGGGUGCUCUCCACUUUGGAGGUCUGAGGUCGUGUGCUGAGGUUUUGUUCUCCCUGGUAUCCAAGGUGACUGUUAAAGGCAGUUACUUAUCCCUUGCCUUCUUCCAAGUAAAGAAGACAGAUACAAAAUGAUGACCAAAUGUCAGGCUUUCAUUCUGGUCUUACUGUGAGUAUGAACGGGGUGUGUGCAUGUGGAGAUACCAGAAGACAACUUUGUAGAGUUAGUUCUCUACCUCUGCUAGCCACCUUUACCUUGGCGUCCAAGGAUCAGACUCAGGUCACCUGGUAUCUGUUGCAAGUGUCUAUACCAGAUGAGCCAUCUUGCCAGCCCUCAUCCUCAUUGUAGUUAUUACUUAAUAGGUUUAAGUGACUACUAAUGCUUUUUGCCAAAAGCAUCUAUAAUUGCCUGUUUCAAAUAGGUUUGUUAUUGUUUACCAUUAAUCAUAGAAAUUAAAAAACAUAAACCAGUCAAUUUGACUUAAAUUCAGAAGUAAUAGUUUAUCUCUGCUUGUUUUUUUUUUUUUUUU